GAUGAACGCUAGCUAUAGGCUUAACACAUGCAAGUCGAGGGAGCGGCUGCCGGGUGAGUAAUGUCUGGGAAACUGCCUGAUGGAGGGGGAUACCUACUGGAAACGGUAGCUAAUACCGCAUACCAUCAGAUGUGCCCAGAUGGGAUUAGCUCGUGGGUGGGGUAACGGCUCACCUAGGCGGCGAUCCCUAGCUGGUCUGAGAGGAGGACCAGCCACACUGGAACUGAGACACGGUCCAGACUCCCACGGGAGGAAGCAGUGGGGAAUAGUGCACAAGGGGCGCAAGCCUGAGGCAGCCAUGCGGCGUGUGUGAAGAAGGCCUUCGGGUUGUAAAGCACUUUCAGCGGGGAGGCGUGACCCGCAGAAGAAGCACCGGCUAACUCCGUGCAAGCAGCCGCGGUAAUAC
rnacentral:rRNA from 1 species